AGAGUUUGAUCCUGGCUCAGGACGAACGCUGGCGGCGUGCUUAACACAUGCAAGUCGAACGAUGAACCACUUCGGUGGGGAUUAGUGGCGAACGGGUGAGUAACACGUGGGCAAUCUGCCCUUCACUCUGGGACAAGCCCUGGAAACGGGGUCUAAUACCGGAUAUCACUUCCACUCGCAUGGGUGGGGGUUGAAAGCUCCGGCGGUGAAGGAUGAGCCCGCGGCCUAUCAGCUUGUUGGUGAGGUAAUGGCUCACCAAGGCGACGACGGGUAGCCGGCCUGAGAGGGCGACCGGCCACACUGGGACUGAGACACGGCCCAGACUCCUACGGGAGGCAGCAGUGGGGAAUAUUGCACAAUGGGCGAAAGCCUGAUGCAGCGACGCCGCGUGAGGGAUGACGGCCUUCGGGUUGUAAACCUCUUUCAGCAGGGAAGAAGCGAAAGUGACGGUACCUGCAGAAGAAGCGCCGGCUAACUACGUGCCAGCAGCCGCGGUA
rnacentral:rRNA from 1 species